AGAGUUUGAUCAUGGCUCAGAAUGAACGCUGGCGGCGUGCUUAACACAUGCAAGUCGUGCGCGAAGGUGGCUUCGGCCACCGGAGAGCGGCGAACGGGUGAGUAACACGUGGGUGAUCUGCCUGGGAGUGGGGAUAACCUGGGGAAACUCGGGCUAAUACCGCAUACGUCGCAGGGUUGCGGCCCUGCCAAGAAAGCUGG
rnacentral:rRNA from 1 species